CUUUCCCGUAGUUGAAGUGGAGUUUGAUGUUCUUGCCCUGGUUGAUGUGCAGGUAGGUGAACCACACGGCGGAGGUGAGCAGCACCAGCAGCAGCAAGAGCUUGAACUGCUUCCGGAUCUUCUUCACGGGGAAGCGCAGCAUCCUGGCUCACACAUCCUCCGGUAGCCGCCCGGUACAGAGUGGAAACGGGUCCGAUGGGACGGGGACGGGGACAGGGAGGGGGACAAGCGGUUCAAGCGGGUCGCUGCUGUGGCGCUUCGUUAGUCUCCCGGGUCACAGCGGCGGAAUCCCGGGAAGCCUGCGAGGAAACAGCGGAGCCUCAGCCCGGUCGGAGCGCGUCUCGUACCCGUCGGAUCCACGUGGGGACAGAUGCGCCCGACUCGGCGUGUCCUCAGAUCUGGGUCCACACACCUCUGUGGCUGUCAUUGCUCGCGAAUGCAAAAAAAAAAAACACGGUUCGCUUCCCCUCCUCCCUCUUCCUCCCUUCCCCUAUGAAUAGCGUGGCUGGUUAAACAGGCGUCCCCGCCGGAGGUUCCGGGCGGCCGGGGCUCUGCAGGGGGGAAAGGCUGCAGAGCAAAAGCCGCUCACAUUCAGUUAAAGAGCGCGACCGAGGCAACAAAAUAGCAGUCCGGCGAUAAUCUGCACAAAUCCCUCUGUAGCUCAGGCAUUUGCUGACACCGCGACGCUGAUUAUUUUAUCAAGGAUCAUCCCCCCGCGCAAAGUACCAACAAAAAAAGAGCAAAGAAGAAUAUUUAGUUCCCACGCGGAGAGGCGAUCGGACGGAGCAUUUUGCAGAGAUGGAAAAAAAAAACCUUCCUUGCACAAAGCCGGGGUUCUCUUUCUGCGCUUCGCCAAUGACAACAAAUACAAUUAAUACGGCCUUCGGUUAAAUAUGGCGAGCGCGUGGAGGGAGCCUGGCCGGGGGGAAAGGUGAAGGUGGCAACCCACCCGAAAAACACAAAUGUCACAGCCCGCUCGCGCUCCGUCCAGCGGCGUUGAACGCACAGCUGGAACUGAGACUCCGGCUUUCGCGAUCCAGUGUGGAGGAGUCAAAUGGAGCGCGUUUUUUUUUUUUAUUCAAGUCCCGGGAGAGAGGAGGGGCGAUCAGCUGUGAUCCCCCACAACACUCGCGCUGGAUCGAAGCCGCCGCCCCCCCCCCAACGAGGAGUAAACACUUAAGAACUGCGAGCGCUCCACGGCGAAGAAGAGCUCCGUCGUGGACGUGGAUUGGCGGGUGCAGGCAGGGAAACAGGCGUCCGUGUGCUCCCUAUCGCGGCAGGUGCGUUUCACCCAAUUUUCGUCCACCACCCGAAAAAAGUGCGUGCGGGGAAAAGCGAAUAUACCCUCAUCCGGAUGAGACAAUUACGCGCGGAUUACGCGGCGGCGAAGCACUGCUUUGUGUUGUUAUUCUUUCGUGGGGUUUUUUCCCUUUACAACGCAGCAAGAGCAUCGUCCGACCCGCUUGUCGCCGUGCGCGAGGAGGAGGAGGAGGAGCGGGAGGAGAGCCAGCUGAGCUCCGGGAAGAGGGAACAUGUGGCACCUGCUAGGUACCACGCUCAAGGGAUGUCCACGCUUGGAUGAAUCCAGGAGGAGGUUGGCUGUGCAGUGGGAGCGUAUGAACAGAGAGGGUGUCCAAGCCUCCUCCUGCAGCACAGCAAGCAGUUCACAGGCUUCGACGAGAGCUCUGGAAUGUCACAGAGAUUAGGAGCUUUUGCCUCCCGCACCCGACGGAUCGGCUCUGACUGCCCCCCCAUCCUGUGCCCGCGCCUCCUUCCUCCCAAGCAGGUGAGAAGUGGCAUUUCCUUUCCUGCUUUCCUGUGCCCUUGGGGAUUUCCUGCAUGGGAAAUAGCAUUCAUCCAUGUUAAGAGAUGAGCGAGGAGGGGAACAGGCGAUUUGGAGAGGGAACG
ensembl:lncRNA